UACGGAGGAUGCAAGCGUUAUCCGGAAUGAUUGGGCGUAAAGCGUCCGCAGGUGGCACCUCAAGUCUGCUGUCAAAGACCGGGGCUUAACCCCAGAAAGGCAGUGGAAACUGAAGUGCUAGAGUGCAGUAGGGGUAGAGGGAAUUCCCGGUGUAGCGGUGAAAUGCGUAGAGAUCGGGAAGAACAUCGGUGGCGAAAGCGCUCUGCUGGACUGCAACUGACACUCAGGGACGAAAGCUAGGGGAGCGAAUGGG
rnacentral:rRNA from 1 species